rnacentral:pre_miRNA from 1 species
ACCGGCGUUUGACCCUGAGGCACUCAUACCGCCAGCUGGUUUAGAAUGCCAGCCCGUAUAUAUGAGUGCCUCACGUAGCGUUUAGAAUGCUAGCGGUACGAGUGUCUCAAGGUCAAACUCCGGU